GACGAACGCUGGCGGCGUGCUUAACACAUGCAAGUCGAACGGAGUGGCGAACGGUGGAGAACCACGUGGGUGAUCUGCCUUGCACUUCGGGCUAAACUGGGGAAACGGGGUCUAAAACCGGAUGUGGAAAGAUGAGUACGCGGCCUAUCAGCUUGUGGGUGGGGUAAUGGCUUACCAAGGCGUCGACGGGUAGCCGGCCUGAGAGGGUGUACGGCCACAUUGGGACUGAGAUACGGCCCAGACUCCGACGGGAGGCAGCAGUGGGGAAUAUUGCACAAUGGGCGGAAGCCUGAUGCAGCGACGCCGCGUGGGGGAUGAAGGCCUUCGGGUUGUAAACUCCUUUCGACAGGGACGCGGUACCUGUAUAAGAAGCACCGGCUAACUACGUGCCAGCAGCCGCGGUAAUAC
rnacentral:rRNA from 1 species